GACGAACGCUGGCGGCGUGCUUAACACAUGCAAGUCGAACGGAAAGGCCCUGCUUGCAGGGUACUCGAGUUGCGAACGGGUGAGUAACACGUGGGUGAUCUGCCCUGCACUUCGGGAUAAGCCUGGGCAACUGGGUCUAAUACCGGAUAGGAGCCAUUUUUAGUGUGAUGGUUGGAAAGUUUUUUCGGUGUAGGAUGAGCUCGCGGCCUAUCAGCUUGUUGGUGCGGUUAUGGCCUACCAAGGCGGCGACGGGUAGCCGGCCUGAGAGGGUGGACGGCCACAUUGGCACUGAGAGACGGCCCAGACUCCGACGGGAGGCAGCAGUGGGGAAUAUUGCACAAUGGGCGCAAGCCGGAUGCAGCGACGCCGCGUGGGGGAUGACGGCCUUCGGGUUGUAAACUACUUUCGCAAGGGACGAAGCUUUUUGUGACGGUACCUAGAUAAGAAGCACCGGCUAACUACGUG
rnacentral:rRNA from 1 species